rnacentral:rRNA from 1 species
CUGACCCAGCAUGCCGCGUGAAGGAUGAAGGCUUUCGGGAUGUAAACUUCGUAAGAAUGGGAAGAAUAAAUGACGGUACCAUUUGUAAGGUCCGGCUAACUACGUGCCAGCAGCCGCGGUAAUACAUAGGGACCAAGCGUUGUUCGGAUUUACUGGGCGUAAAGGGCGCGUAGGCGGCGUGACAAGUCAGUUGUGAAAUCUCCCAGCUUAACUCGGAACGGUCAACUGAUACUGUUGUGCUAGAGUACAGAAGGGGCAAUCGGAAUUCUUGGUGUAGCGGUGAAAUGCGUAGAUAUCACGAGGAACACCUGAGGUGAAGACGGGUUGCUGGGCUGAUACUGACGCUGAGGCGCGAAAGCUAGGGUAGCAAACGGGAUUAGAUACCCCGGUAGUCCUAGCCCUAAACGAUGAAUACUUGGUGUCUGGAAUAUUAUUUUUCCGGGUGCCGUCGCUAACGUUUUAAGUAUUCCGCCUGGGGAGUACGCACGCAAGUGUGAAACUCAAAGGAAUUGACGG